UUCGUAGAAAAAAAAAGGCGUGGUCAUUUCCUUCCUCGAGAAGACAGAGAGAGGACGCACGCCACCUCCUCCCCACCUUCGCCAGAUACGACCGCCCAUUCAUCGCCGCCACCCAUCGCGUCGCCCGCCCACGACCUUCUCUCAUCUUCCACCCGCGACGGCGUCCCGUCCACCUCGAGAUGUACGGCGACGGCGUCCCGAUGGAGAACCCUGGCCGCAGCUGGUCGCCGGCGCUCCUCCGCUGCGCGCCCCAGGUGACCCCCACGGAUCCGCGGCGCCGAGGGCGGCGCACACGGUCCGCGACCUGGCGGAGGAGGGGAAGAAGCGGGCCGUGUUGCUCCUCGUCUUCGCCUUCGGCCUCGCCUUCCUCAUGUCCAUGACAAGCUCUUCAGUCUGGAUUAACUUCCCAUUCGCCAUAUCUUUGAUAGUUCUGUUUCGCUACCUAUCACUUGACUAUGAUUUCCGUAGAAAGAGCACAACAACCACAGAUCGUGAUGCCAGUCGCCCACUUGCCAAAACAAAAAAGUAUUGAAUUAAGCAAACCUUCACUUACCCAGAAGAAUGGAAAUUCCAGUUGGAGGAGCAAGGUGAACUCACCUCCAGUUGAAGCAGCAUUUGAACAGUUCACAAGGCAUCUUGUCACCGAGUGGGUAACAAAUCUUUGGUACUCCCGUAUAACACCUGAUAAGGACGGACCGGAGGAACUCAUCAGCAUAGUUAAUUCUGUCCUUGGAGAGAUUUCUAACUGGGGAAGAAGCAUUAACAUCAUCACUCUGUUAACCAGGGACCUGGUCUCAUAUGCAAUAAUUUGGAGCUUUAUCAUUCCUGUGAAGCUAAGAUUGGAAAAGAGAAGUUUGUUAGACUCCCGACGGAGCGUCGUGAUGCUGAACUGAAACUCGGCCUUGUAGCUCAAAGCAAGUUGCAUCCAGCUUUAUUUUCAGCCAGUGCUGAAUACAAGGUAAAGACUUUGUUGAUGUUUAAGCUUUUUGUUAUUGCUUAUAGUAAGCUGCUUAGCUGCAAAGUAUCCAAGAUAAGGUUGGCACCUUGAUGAACACUUUGGUUUGGAACUGGAAUUUGGAUUAUGUUUCAUAAGUAACUUGGCUCCUUUCCCCAGCUCCCUUUCAUGCCAAAUCCUACAGAGCUUUGAUGAUGUUCUGUGCCAAUUUUCUUUUAGAAUUAUACUCUCCUUAAUGUUUGAUAUUUGAUCCUUAAUUAGUAUCUACUGCCCAUGAUUCUGUUGCUACUGGAAGCAUCGCCUUGAAUAUCGUUUAGCUUCGAAAGGGAAAGGUUCCAAUUGGGGAUUUUAUUACUGUUAGAGGGUAGGAUGUUCAACCGUGCAUUCAAUUUUUUUUCUCUGACUCUGUAUUGCUUUACUAUUGCGUGAAUUAUAUUUUUAUCCAGUUUUGCUCCUCUUGAUGAUUGGAAGUUAGCAUUGCUCCUGUUAGAGCAACAGUAUACCAAAACAAGAUCCAACCGAGCUAAGGAUGCUCUCUCUUGCUUUCCCAACAACUUCAGAAGAGAUUUCUGGAUCAGGUAUCAGGUCUAGAGCCAAUGGAGAGAAGCAACAUCAUGAUGCUGCUAUAUCUUAGUGGUCUUUCUUUCACAAUGGUGAUCUGCUUCUUAUCUGUUCUAGGUGUCACUGUCAUAGCUUACUUGGCAUAACCUUCCUUCUUUUGAUGGUUGUCAACACACAUUUAAGUCACACAUACACCAUACAAGAUGCAGAGCCUUUGGUAUAUGCAGCCGCACUCCCUUGCCGCCACCUGCUACUUCAAGUCCGCCGACGGCCACGUUGGAAACUAGGGCUUCUCCAUAGCCCGCCUCAAUUCUACCUCGCCCUCCUUGCUGGUAUACAUGCAUCUCAUUCAGUCUGUUCGUUGUACAACUUGUAGUGUCCACAAUUCAGAAGUAGGAGUUCACAGAAAACUGCUUCUCUGAAUCACUCAUUGUUCAGUUUCGUUCUCUUGUGGUUAAUUCAAAGAUCCAUUGCCAAAAGUGUGAAUAUGAGUGCAAAUAUGCUUGUCUUUUGAACUCUGGAACUGUUGCCUAUACAUGCCUAUUAUUGCUGAAUAUGAUGGAAAUGUGGAUGUUCACUGUGGUACUAAUAUAAGACCUUUUAUAGAUCUCUACUUUAGAGAUCUAUAAAAGGUCUUAUAUUAGUUUAAAGAGGGAGUAUUUAUCAGGAAGCAGCUUAUAGGACUUCCAAUAAGCAAGAAGUUUCAUAUAAUUUUCCUGGAUGCAAUAGGAUGAACUUUCAUUUUAUUGGAAGGUGCUAUAGUAUAAAUUUCAAAGACCCACUUCAGUUGUUGCUGUUAUGGUUUUAUAAAUCUUAAACAGAACAGUCUUUGGGUGAAUACAUCUAUUGUAUUUUGGUGAAUAAAAUGCGUCAGACAGAUCCCCACUCUUCAGCAGAUCUUAUAGAACAUUCAAAUUGUCUAUUAGCUAGAUUAGUUUCUCACUGCACUUUGUUUCAUUUUUUUUAGUUUGGAUCGAGUGUGAAUGUAAGGAAGAUAUUGUUGUCACAUAGUAAUAAUCCAUCUAUGAGUUACUAGGAGGUAGCUCAUGCAUGUUGAUUGUGCUUCAAGGUACAGUAGUUUGUAGCAUACAAAAUUUGUGGUUUGUAUAGGUUGUGCAUCCUAGGAACAAAGUUUGAUUCGUAGGUAGCUGAAGAAGCGAACGACUUUUGUUCUUUGCAUUGCAGGUUUCCUAUAUUCCAAAAAUUAAUGUGUAUUUAGGCGUGCUAUGUGACGCGUUGAGAGAAUAUGAUGGGAGGAGGAGACACAACACUCCACUCCACUUCCUAUUCUUGCCAUCACGUUGUUGCCACACUUGGGCUGGUUCUAUUGCGCAUGCUUCUUGCUAUUUGGAAUGCAUCGUUCUUAUUAUUUUUAGGUUAGCUAUCAUUUGAAUUGAUAACAGGACAAGGUUAUCAACUCUUUCUUGGCUAGGAACAUAUUUUUGCAGGCCAGGAGGAAGCUUGAGAACUUGCUGCCCGAUCUCGCCAGGGCGAUGAGAUGGAGGCCUGCUCACUGCUGCUCCACUGUUCGCUACACUUUCAGGGCCUCAGGGAGCACCUCCUUACUGACGACCUCUUCCUCAACAAGCUCGUCGUGGAGUGCGUCGUUGGGUCAACUCCAAUGUCCUUUAUUUUGAGAAUUCAUCAUUCACCGCUCUGUAGACAGAUCGUUGCUGACCGUCAUUACCACCUAUAUAUACUCAAUGUAGUGUGAUUCUUAAGGCCGUUAAGAGUCGUACAUACGUCAAUUAGUGUGCUUCUUACGCUGGUUUUUGACAGUAUCUACAAAGUGUAUGCUAUGAUCAAAACUGGCGUCCCCUUCCUUUUGAACCAGCUAUACAGUUGAUUGCUACUAAACCAAAUUUAAUCUACUUUUAGCUCUAA